CAGCCUGAGGAGCACAGGUGAAGGCAAUUCACCUGUGCUGCCAGAAGGGUGGAGCCAGGCUCCAGCUCUCCUAGACCUAUUUAAGAGCUGGCUAUCAGUGGGGAAGGGUUUCUUCUGGAGAUUGCCUUUGCUGGUGUUUUGUGAGCAAGCCCAGGAUAGGGCAGCACACAAUUGUACCAAUUAUAAUUGAGAUGCUCCAAACUUCCACCUACACCACUUCACCAGACGCCCUUGCUCUGGGCUGGAAAAACACGCUGAAUUGUGAGGCAUCUUUUAUUAAACAAACAGCAAUUGAGAAAGAAGCAAGCACUUAAGCCACCACUGUGUUCUGCUGAGAGCCCAAGUGAACUGCUACUAAGAGCAGGGGAGAAGUCUCCUGCAACAACCAGGCGCCCUUAGAGCAGACAUUCAAAUAAUGCGACAUUAUUCAUCACAAUAGUAUCUCUCAUUAGCAGAUGAUUAUCGCUACGGAUGUAAGCAAGAUGAGGCUUCUAGGGAGAAACAGUUUCUUUUAUUAGACUAGUUGGCAUAUUUGGAAGAAACUAACAAGCUUUGAGGAGCACAGACUCUAUUGCAAGGCACUGUCUGAAACCAUUUUCAACAUGUCUGUUCACCAGUCACUCCUCACUUCUUGGAUCUUCUGUUGCUUGGGUAAGUUCACCAGGACACUGCACAAGUUAUCCUCUCCCAGGAUUUGAUCAGACAGGUUACGCCACAAGUGUAUUUGUAUCAUGUAGUCCUGGUGUCUCCUGGUGCAGAAAGCAGAGGAAAGUCUGGAGGAAAGCAGAGCCCUGUCCUGGAAGCCAGCACUUCAGAGGCUGUAGUAAGAGGGACACCCCAGGGGACAAGAGGUAGGUGAUGCAGGCAUGACAAGGGGGUUCCCAGCCCAGAAGCCCAUGGGAGGACCACAUCCUGUGGCUUUUCCCCACUGUUACCCCUCUUUCUCUGGGCUCCCAGGGGUCUGACAUACAACCUAGUUCAGCACAGGGAAAAAGCACCAGGGGCUUUCCUGUGCCUACCCAACUCGCAGCCCACUCAACUGUGCUUAAUGCUGUCUUCAUGCUGUCAGCUCAGUGAUGAGAAAGAGUGCUACCUUCAGGAAAAAAAGAACUGUUUGAAGUGGUGGAAGGUCUCCAGACACUGCAGCAAUGCACAUGCCUUGUCGCUUACAAGAGGAAAGGAGGAUGCAUGUGACACUAGCUGUGGGUGACAGCCGUGGGCAGAUGCUGCCAUGCCAGAAGGACUCAGCAUCACUCAUCCAGCACCUCCCCAGCAAGGGAUGCAGCUCACAAGGGUGGAACCCCAGACGCUGUGCAGGAAGCCAUCCCAGCAAGCUGUCGCUUCACUGUCUGCAUGCAUUUCUUUCCUUUGGGGGAGGCUGUGCACUGCUCUAUCCACCCCAUUAACAGUCUUCACCUUCUCUCAAAUAUGUUCUUGGUUUAAAUGAUGUGUGUUGCAAUCACCUCCCAAAGUCUUUUGGAUGCCUUUUUCCUGAAUGCUGAGUCUUCACAAAUUAAGCAUGUCAGAGCUUACGUGCAUCUUUUUCUUUCUUACUGUACUUCUUAUUCUGAGAAGCGUGGUCUGACCAUAGAGAAACAUUAGCCUGCAUACCGUUUUCAGAAGCUCAGAGAUCUCAGCACUUGCCACACAGCAAGAUUUGGACUUUCUGUGUACUAGGUAUAGUUCCAGCCCUCAUGGAGGUAGAAAGGAAAGGUUUGAAAAUGAAUCUGAUCUCUGAUCAUCCAGAGAACGAAAGACAACCAAAACCAUGGAUAUAGUUUUUAAAAAUAUGUAAUGUUAGAACACCUUGAGAUUUUUGGAAGUUUGGGGCUGGCAAAAGAAAAUGUGCCUCUUAAUUUCCUGGGUUUGGAGAAAGAUGUAUCUGUACUGCAGAAAAAUAG